rnacentral:rRNA from 1 species
CUAAUACCGGAUGCUUGAUUGAACCGCAUGGUUCAAUCAUAAAAGGUGGCUUUUAGCUACCACUUACAGAUGGACCCGCGGCGCAUUAGCUAGUUGGUGAGGUAACGGCUCACCAAGGCGACGAUGCGUAGCCGACCUGAGAGGGUGAUCGGCCACACUGGGACUGAGACACGGCCCAGACUCCUACGGGAGGCAGCAGUAGGGAAUCUUCCGCAAUGGACGAAAGUCUGACGGAGCAACGCCGCGUGAGUGAUGAAGGUUUUCGGAUCGUAAAACUCUGUUGUUAGGGAAGAACAAGUACCGUUCGAAUAGGGCGGGACCUUGACGGUACCUAACCAGAAAGCCACGGCUAACUACGUGCCAGCAGCCGCGGUAAUACGUAGGUGGCAAGCGUUGUCCGGAAUUAUUGGGCGUAAAGCGCGCGCAGGCGGUUUCUUAAGUCUGAUGUGAAAGCCCCCGGCUCAAACCGGGGGAGGGUCAUUGGAAACUGGGGAACUUGAGUGCAGAAGAGGAGAGUGGAAUUCCACGUGUAGCGGUGAAAUGCGUAGAGAUGUGGAGGAACACCAGUGACGAAGGUGACUCUCUGGUCUGUAACUGACGCUGAGGCGCGAAAGCGUGGGGAGCGAACA